rnacentral:lncRNA from 1 species
GGAGUGGGGGAUCCGGGGGAGACGAAGGUGAAGGAGCUGCGGGGCUAGUUCUGAGCCGGGAAAAGAUGGAGUGAAGGUACCUGAGCGCAGGAACCAUGGUCUUCAUUGCUGCCUCAGCAUUAGCGGAAGUGCCACGGGCCGGCUCCCAGGGGGCCAGAGUUUCCCAGGAACACCAUUGAGUACCACUGAACUAGAGUCUGCAAGUUAAAAGAGAACUUACUUGAAGGUCGAUGUUUUCUCUUGCUGAUUCCAUCUCGCUGCCCUCAAGUCCCUUCACACGCACCGGGUGCCGGGAACAGACUGCGUGGGCUCCUCCAGGCUCCGCCGUCUGAGUCUCUGCUGCUUUCUUCGGGUGGGAGAGAGCACACAGCUGGCGGGACAGACCUGCCAUUCAUCCCUCUGAUGUGGGAUGCCCGUCUUGGCUGCAGCCUCUGGGGGAGGUGUGCACCUGCACACACGUGUGAGUGUAUGUGUGUGCACAUGUGUGUGCUCCAGGAGGUGGCACAUGGCACACUGAUAGGUGACCUUUUGAGUUGGUAGUGACAGCAUCAUUUUCACCAGUGGCUCCAGUGACCUUCCAGUCCCAGCGGAGCCAUCUG